ACUCUGAUUAAAGAAUUGUCUUUUCUGCGAAGAUUCAAGGAAUGCAACUUAGUCGGCGGCAGGGCAGUAAUUCCCGAAUGGACCUGCGCAUGCGCAGAGGGUGCUCACUACCAAAAGACACCUUGUGCCUUGCAAACAAUAUUCCUAGUGGAACAGGCAACAGAUUUCAAUUCCUUUAAAGUUCCUGUUUGUGGUGCUCCGCGUUCUCCGAUAGUAAAAGAUAUCCUGCUGUUUCUUUGCUUCGGAUCCUACGUGCAUAUGAAUAGGAAUCUCUCUUUGUGCAUUGGAGGAGGAGGAAGAGGAGCUGGUCGACUUUUGCAGUUGCUCUCCCCACUUGUCUUCCCUCCCCUUUUCGUGUCUCACCAGGCAAGAGAGGUGAGAGAAACCGGCCAUGAGGCAGCACCUUGGACAGGAAAUUCUUUUUCCAGAGUCAUUGGUCGCAUUUUCUUCUAGGUUCUAGUAAAGAAAAAAUAUUUUUUAUUGCCAAGUGUUAAGCUUGUGUCAGUAACCCAAAAUAGGACCCUGAAACACCCAGAGGGUCUAACCUCUGUUUACUAGUAGAUUGGGGUUCUGUAGGAACAAAAGCUAUUUGAAUUAAAUUCAAUUCAGUCAAUACAAUUCGAUAAAAGUCACUGAGCAUAUGUUAGGCAGGAAUCCCUUCGCUAGGCAUUUAUUCAUAUAUUAAAUCUUUUGCUAUGUUCUAGGAAUUCUGGGACUCAAAGACAACUUUAAAAGGAUUUCUGACGUUGGGAAAUUCACAGGCUGUUGGGGAAGAUGGAUGUAAAUAUAUGUAAAUUCAAUAUAUCUCUAUAUAGUUCACAUAGUGGCAAGAGGGUUGUUAAUUCUACCAAAGUGAGGUAGGUAGGGUUUCUGGAGAAAGAAGUAUUUUGCCAGAGCAGAGAAAGAGGGUAAUUCCAGAAGGAGGGAACAGAAUAUGCCAAAGAGACUUGAAAGAGACUUUAGCAGACUAUGAGACCUGAAAGCCUGUGGUCUGCUUAAGUAGCUGAACCCUGAAAUGACUGAGUAGAAUAUAAAAGGCUGGAAGGAGAGAGGGAGGGAGGACCUGAGGGCGGUGAGGGUGCAAAGGGAAACCAAAGCUAGACUACAGGGAAAGGUACAUUCUCCACUAUGCACUUUUAAGCUUCUGGAAAUCACUGAGAGUUUUAAGUAGCAAUGGUCAGGGUCAGAUUUAGGUUUUAGAAUGUUCUGAUAGAAUAAACAUGGUAAGAGUGAUUAAUCUUCAUCAGUUGUGGACUAUUUGCUGGUUAUCAGGCACAUUACAUAGAUGAUCUCAUUUAAACCUGGUAGUAAUCCAAAUGUUAUUACUAUUACUAUUAUUAGAUAUUACUAUAUUAUAAUUUUAUAGAUGAUACUAAGAACAAAUCAAGAUAAUGUAACUAGUUUAAUCAAACUGUUAAUAAAUGAUGAAAUCAGCAUUUUAACUCUGAAUCUAUGGACCUAUCUGCUGUAUUCUAUGAAGCAUAGAUCCCAAGAGAAAGAACCAGAGAUACUGAAAACAAGGAAGAAGAAUUAUUACAGUAACACCAAGCAAAAAGAAAUGAAGUCAGAUAGUGUUUAGCAUAGAGAGGAGGUGAUGGACCAGUACAGGUUUUCAUAAAUAUAAUAGAAUCAUCAAGUAGUUGUGAAGGUCAGGAUCUGCAGACUUUUGAAAGUGUCCUAAACAAUGAUACAUAUAUUUACAUAUGUGUAGAUCUUGACAUUCAAUGUAUACAUUAAUUUCAUUUUUUUCUUUGAGGNNNNNNNNNNNNNNNNNNNNNNNNNNNNNNNNNNNNNNNNNNNNNNNNNNNNNNNNNNNNNNNNNNNNNNNNNNNNNNNNNNNNNNNNNNNNNNNNNNNUCAUUUUUUUCUUUGAGGCUCAUGACAACUUUAAACACUAUGGCCUUUUCUUCUGGGGCCAGCAUUAACUCAAUCAAUUUUCUUAAUUGACUUUAAAGUAUGUCCUCUACCUUUUUUUAAUCCAUGUGGCUCUGCUUUUAAUGGGUAAAGGAGAAGAUCUGUUUAUGCUACAGGUCUUUGUUGAAGCAUAGAACCUCUCUGUGCUGCACAACUCUGCAAAAGCUGUACUGGAGAAAAUAAAAUAUAUGGAGAGUUUAUUUCAUUCAUUUAUUCCUCAAAUAUUUAUUGAACAUUUACUAAGUGUCACACUCUAUACUGGUGGUACAACAGCAGAAAAGAGCAUACAGAGUCUCCUUCCACAUGGAAUUUGUUAACUGACUCAUCUAUUGGAAGUUGCAAAUUGUUAUCCUUGGUAGUCAAAUUCAGUUUGUAAAAGAUGUUGUUGGUUAGAUGUUUGCUAUAUUUUUUAAAUUUAUAUAGCUUUUACUGGGAUAUAUGUUUUCCGGUUGGUUAUAAACCUCAGUCAUUAUUUUUGAAUAAUAACUAGGAUUUUAUUUAGCAAUAUUUGCCAAAAGUUCAAAAAUAAUGGAUAAGUACCUAUAAUUCAGCAUUUACAAAAUGAUUACUAAACAUCUUUUCUCUUGAUGUAUGCUUACAAAAGCUGAACAAUUAAACGAGAAUGUUGAUAGAGCUGAAUAUAUCAUUUUAGAGUUAUUUUUAAAACAUAUACUUGAAAAGUAAUUAAUCA
rnacentral:lncRNA from 1 species